GACGAACGCUGGCGGCGUGCUUAACACAUGCGAGUCGAACGGAAAGGCCUGCUUUCCCUUGUGGAUUGCGGGUACUCGAGUGGCGAACGGGUGAGUAACACGUGAGUGAUCUGCCCCCAACUUGGGUAUAAGCCUGGGAAACUGGGUCUAAUUCCCGAUAGGACUGCAGGGUGGUGCCUGUGGUUGAAAACGAUUUUCUAGUGGUUGGGGAUGAGCUCGCGGCCUAUCAGCUUGUUGGUGGGGUAAUGGCCUACCAAGGCGGCGACGGGUAGCCGGCCUGGGAGGGUGGACGGCAGCAGUGGGACUGAGAUACGGCCCAGACUCCUACGGGAGGCAGCAGUGGGGAAUAUUGCACGAUGGGCGGAAGCCUGAUGCAGCGACGCCGCGUGGGGGAUGACGGCCUUCGGGUUGUAACCUCCUUUCGACCGCGAGGAAGCCACCUGGUUGGAAGGGUGGUGACGGUAGUGGUAGAAGAAGCACCGGCUAACUACGUG
rnacentral:rRNA from 1 species